rnacentral:rRNA from 1 species
UAGGGAAUCUUCCGCAAUGGACGAAAGUCUGACGGAGCAACGCCGCGUGAGUGAAGAAGGAUUUCGGUUCGUAAAACUCUGUUGUUAGGGAAGAAAAAAUGUAUAGUAACUAUAUACAAAAGAGACGGUACCUAACCAGAAAGCCACGGCUAACUACGUGCCAGCAGCCGCGGUAAUACGUAGGUGGCAAGCGUUGUCCGGAAUUAUUGGGCGUAAAGCGCGCGCAGGUGGUUUAGAAAGUCUGAUGUGAAAGCCCACGGCUCAACCGUGGAGGGUCAUUGGAAAAUAAUAAACUUGAGUGCAGGAGAGAAAAGUGGAAUUCCUAGUGUAGCGGUGAAAUGCGUAGAGAUUAGGAGGAACACCGGUGGCGAAAGCGGCUUUUUGGCCUGCAACUGACACUGAGGAGCGAAAGCGUGGGGAGCAAACAGG